CCUGCACCAAAGAGACCAGGGAGGCUCCCAGAGAGACAGCUGGAGCCAGGCCCCUGCGUCUUUGCCCCUUUCGAGUGGCCCCGACCCCAGGGCCCCGGCCCAGAGGAAGGAGCUGCCCACGGAGAGGCUGGUAAAUGAAGGAACACAGAUUUCCCUGCCCGCAUCUCAUCACCUCCAGAGCCGGUGGGGAAAGAGGGCUCUCUCCUUACCUGCCACCCUUAGACCUAAGAGCCCCUGGCUGAGCCCGAGGAACGCUGGUCCAGGUCCCAGGUCCCUGGAGGGGGCAGCCGCGGCCCCUCGCCUCCCCCACCCCCCGACAGCCCCCGGAGAACUCACACCACCAGGCCUCUUCCUCAGCCCUCCUCUCACAUGGAUCUCCAGUACUCAGGGGAGAGGCAGCCUCAAUGGAGUGACACCACAUCUGUGAAGAUUCCCAUUAACCUGAGCCCACGAGGAGGCCUUUCAAGACCUCAAGAUCUGGCCUGAAGAGUUCGAGGCUGGAAGCAUCACCCCCACAGAGCCCCCUCACCCUUGCAUAAGCCGCAUAUAGGAUGUGCCCCACUGGGUCUCUCCCCCCAACAAAGGGAGUUCCAGGCUUUGUGGCAUGGCCUGCAUGUUCUCCUGAGAGAUCCUAGAGGCCACAGCCUUCAUUUUGCAGGUUGGGUCACUGAGGCCCCAGGUCAUAGGGCACAGCCGAGCACUAGCUCCAGUCCAGUGCACUCUCCCCUGUUCUCGCUUUACCGAGUACCUACUGUGUGCUGCGGCAGAGGCUGAAAUGCAAGGCUCCCUGCCCUCUGUGGCUCAUAUAACUGCCACUCUAGACCCUUGUAGAAAAGGGUCUCUGCACUUAUUUGCCCACCAGUGUGGGCAGCCCCUCUCGAACCACCCCAUGACUCAGCCAAGACCAGGCUGCAGUUUCUGAUACAACUAUCCUAAAGCUUUAGGGACCACAUGAGGGAAGACUGAAGGGGAAAGGGCCACUCUCGGGGCUGGGCCAGACCCUUCCUGUAGAUUCCCUUAUGGCGCAGCUCCUUAAGACUGCUAGAUCCAGACCCAUCAGUGGGUCAUGGUAUCAACUUACAGGGUUACAACCAAGCACAUUCAAAAAGAGAGAGAGAGAGACAUUUCAAGAGUUGAAGAGUUCAAGAGCAAAAGCAGAAAUAAGAGCGAAAAUACCAGUGUAGGGUAGGUAUAGUUUUCAUGAAACUUUUGUUUUUAGUAUGAGUGUGUCCAUGUGAUGUGGAAUGUAUUUCUUCCUGGGGCUCAGGGUCACAACACUGUGAAAAAUGCUUCUAGAAAGCUGCAAACCCAAGUAUCUGCCAUCUACCUCCAUAUGGGGGAGGCCAGCUCACCAUUCCCACCGGUUCAGCCAAACACCCAAUAUACCCAAGGCGGGAGAAGGGGCCUAUGCACUUUACAUCUCCGUCAUUCAAAUUCUGAGUCAGGGAUGUUUCCAGAUCCAAGAUGAAUUCUCCACUUGAAAGAAAAUUGCCUACUGCUUUUGAUUGAUAGUUUUUCCAGCUUCUACCUAACCCUAUCUCGUCUUACAAGCCCCAAGGCACCCUGCUUAUCGUCACCAUUACCAGAUGUCUUAGCACUCACUACUUGCCGAGCACUCUUCUAAAUGCA